rnacentral:rRNA from 1 species
UACGGGGGGGGCAAGCGGUUGUUCGGAAUUACUGGGCGUAAAGGGCGCGUAGGCGGCCUGCUAAGUCGGACGUGAAAUCCCUCGGCUCAACCGAGGAACUGCGUCCGAUACUGGUGGGCUUGAAUCCGGGAGAGGGAUGUGGAAUUCCAGGUGUAGCGGUGAAAUGCGUAGAUAUCUGGAGGAACACCGGUGGCGAAGGCGGCACUCUGGGCCGUGUCGUGACGCUGAGGCGC